AAUAUCAUAGACUUUUAGCCAUUUAUCAUUGUUGUUUCAAUUAACUCUACGCUCACAAGGGAUACCAACAAAGCAACCCAUGAAAGUGGUUGUCGGCUCGUGCUGAGCACAAACCAAUACGGUAAAUGGUCGUCUGGUUAUAUUCUCUGACAGGAUUGGACAAGAUGCCUAACCCUAUAACGCAAGUGUUACCACCAAGUUUCCAUAGCUAAAAAGUAAGUGGCUAACCUGAACCAAAACAGAAAAAAUAUGAAUUCUCGUAGCUUUACUCAAAAAGAUCUUGUAAACCAUUAUUCAAGGGAUCCUUCCAUCCUAUUCCUAGUUCUGCUAUGAUUAUUUCAGCUAAUUAUUUUUGGGCAACAAAAAGAAACGAGUCUCUGAUAUGAAAAACAAUAAUAAAUUGCAUCAUUUCUUGAAUAUGUAAUUUCAACAAGCAAACGUAAAUAGAAACUCCAACAUACACACGUUGUAGCAACAACAACAAUAAACUCGGUAUAUUCCCAUCAAGUGAGAUCUGGAAAAGGUAAUAUCGAUGCAGGCCUUACUCUUACCUAAUAAACGUAGAGAAGUUGUUUCCAAUAUACUUUCAGCAAACAUACACAGAUUACAGAACAACCAUAAUUUUCAAUAGUUUUCUAUGGCGGUGAAGUUAACAAAAUGAAUCAAGCAACAAUAAUGCCAAUACCCAAGUAGCAAAGUUGACACCAACCGGACAUGUUGUCAAAGAAAUGGCAACAACAUUCGUCUCCUCAUAGAAAUUGAGACAUUUUUGGACUAAGCAUCCAAAUCCAAGCUGUAGUAGGGAAUUUUUUUGAGGAGAUAAGUGGCAAUAUAAGAUGAUCGGAUAUGAUUUUAGUAACGUAGACAAGAAUAUAUUGCCUUGUAUUGCUAUGGCAAUUACUAAGCCUAUAUUCAAUUACUAUAAUAUUGCACUUAUCUCCUCGAAAAAUCCACUAUCUAUACUAUAUUAAGCCCUUAGCGAAAUAUAACUAGCCUGUUUUAUCUUUUAAAAAUAAAGUUUAAACUAGAUAUAAUAGUCAUUCAAUAAUUUUUUCCUAAUAUUUAGGAUAUUGAAAAUAAAAAACAACUAACAUUUUAAUUACUAAGUUUUUCCAUAUUUGAAAUAUAUAGAAAAUAUGUAAUAUUUGGAAACAUAAUUAAAGAACCUCGUAUGGUACACUUGAUGUAGGCGCUUAUUUGAAUUCCUACCAUAUAAUUAAAACAUAAUUAGCAUUAAAAUAAUAAAACUUUAAAAUUAUAAAAUUUAAAGGUUAAAUAAAAUGUUGAAAUAAAUAUUAAAAAUUCAAAAAAAGUCAAUUAGAUAACUUCUAUAGUUGGCGGAAACACCAAAACUCAAAGUUAUAUUUCUAAUUUAUUGAGCAAGCUAAAUAAGAUCAAUAUUUAUUGUUUUCAAUAACUUUUAUUUUCAAAAUUUUAAUUUUAUAAUGAAAGCAUAUUAUUUUUAUACCGACUCAAGUACACAUACAAAGCACGUAUCAAUACACUACUAGUCCAAAACGCCUCCGUCUCUUUAACAAGAUAUAUUUCUGGGAAAAUCAGAGAUCCCCCCAAUCUCAUCUUCUUGAUCAUCAUUCUGUUCACAACACAAGUCAACCUAUAAUCAACAUUUAACAAAUAACCUUCAAUAUACCUCAAGGUUAAGGAUUACACAUAUUUUCAACUUAUUAUGCAAGAUAUUCUUCUAUUCCAUAUUAUGGAAUCAUUUUGCUUUGACCCAAAUCAACAUUUCACUUAUGCAUGUUGGGAUUUUUAAUUAAGUCUGCCUUUAUUCUUCAGGCUAAUUUCCCACUGCCAGUAGUGAAACAAUUUCGGUAUAUAAACACUUAGAAUGGAAGGGCUUGUUCAUAGAUAUGAAUAACCAAGCACAGACAAAUUUAUGAUCUCAUCUUUAUGGGUUUUAGAUUUUAAAAGGAUGAAUUCAAAUGCUAAUAAUUACUUUCUUAUGUUCAUAAGAAAUGAUCAAUUAUAAAAUGUAUUUUAGUGCACAUCAAUUGUUGAAUUUUUAAGUAUACACAUUUAUUUAGUAUCUUAGAGAGAGAAGCUCUGCCUUCUCUUUAACCUGCUGCUUCAUCUUCUUCUUCUCUGCUACCUCUGCAUAUGUAGGUUAACCUGCGCUGAGGGUGCUAUGGCGAGAGGGAGAGGCCGACCUAAGAAAGUCCUGGUGCCAAUUUAUGCAAGCGACACUGUUUUCC
rnacentral:lncRNA from 1 species